AGAGGGGUGUUGACUUACCCAAGGCCACACAGCACGUCCGCAGUGGCCUCAGGUCUAGAACUCAAGUCCUGUGUGAGUCCCUGCCUCUCUCCUGCCCCGCUCCACCCCGGCGCCCACGCCACACUCUGAGACAGUUUAGCCCGGGGCCGGCUGAGCCAAGCAUGUGCCGCCUGGAUUUAGACGAGCGCGUCUCGCUCUGCCGGGCGUGCCGCUUAGCGAUUGUUCUAAAGCCGUGUGUGGGCUUCUCCACUCCCCCAGUCUUCUAUUUCUUUCUACGCCCCCAAAUGGUCUCCCUUCCCCCCCCCCCCCUCCAGCACCCAGCACAGCGAGCUACACUCAGCAGGUGUUCCACGAACGCUUGCCGAGGGAAUGAGACAUCGGACCAUCUGCAGGGGCCAGAGUGGGUGUCGGGCUCCCCGCCCCCACCCAGCAUCAGCUCCAGCACCCAGCCUGGGCGUCCCUCCGCAGGAAACCCAGAAAGAGAACAACUUACCAAGCUUGUUCAACUUACCAAGGUCACCCAGCUAACUGUGGAGAAGCUCCUAAACACAGCAGUGAAUGCUUUGGAAAUCCCCUGAUGGAUACACAGCUCCAGUUCCUGAAGUCAUCCAGGAGGCAGCAAAGGCUGAGCAGGAGUUAGAGACACCAAAGGCUCAGCCAUCUUACUGGGGAGAGAGGAGUAAUAGCCUGUCUAGGGAUGGGCUACCCGCUCCUCCAAACCACCCCCAAAUUAAAGGUAAAUUUCUCUCUGUAGUAUCAUCUCUCUGCUGUACCUUUGACCUUGCCUUCUUCACUGGCUCCAGUCCCAUGGGCUGGAAACAUGCCCAGAUUUCUCCCAUCCUUAAACCAAAAACAAAACCUUUAACCCUGCCCUUUCUCUCCACUGCAUUUUAUCUAAAUAGCUCAAAAGAUUAAUCUACAUGUCUUUUUUUUUUUUUUCCUAAUUUCUCACAUUCAAUUUUCUCAGCUCAUUCUUAUCUGCUGUCUUCCCUGGCAUACCAUUGAAAUUUCUCUUGCCAAGGACAGUGACCUCCUAUCAUGAAAUCUGAGGAUCUCCUUAAGUUCUAUCUUACUGCAUGUCUUUUUUGCAUUUAACUCUAUUGGUUACUUUCUCUUUCUGAAUGCUCUACUCUUUUUGUUCUCAGGAUAUCUUAUUCUAUGUAGUCCUCAUAACUUUCUGUCCACAACUUUUUUUUUCAUGGGAAAGGAGAUGGAUAAAGAUAUAUUCCUGGUGACAUUGUUUGAACACCUGGAUCCCGCCAUGCCUGAAGCCCACACUAGAUUUUUUUUUUUUUUUUUUUAGUUACACUAGCCAACAUGUUUUUCUUUUCCUCAAACUAGUUUUAGUUGGGUUUUUGAGGCUGGCCAAUGGAGCUGAACACAGCAGUGAAAUCUCCUCCUUUGAUAACUCCUUUCCUUCUGCUACUGGUACUGGCAGCACUAACUAUAGUACUAACUACAAACACAUUCUCAAAGAGCACAUAGCUGAGGCUAGGAGUAUAAUUAAUGAGGAGCCAUCUAAGAACUGGCAACUUCUCAGGUGCUCCACACAAAGAAACUGGUCUCAGCACACACCCCAAUUCUAAGGUCUCAUUUGAUGCAGGUAGCAUGUUAAGUCAAAUGGGUCUUUGCCACCUGAACACUCCCACAACCACCAAAACUAAGAUGGGAAUCCUAUAUCUGCAAUACUUUGCAAACAUUCAAUACAUUAUUGGCUUUGAUAUUUCUCAAAUCAUCUUUGAAUUCCUAGAGUAAAAUAUGUCAAGUAAUUCCUUUGAUAUAUUAUUGCAUUCUUCCCUGGUGUCUCAGACACUAAAGCAUCUGCCUACAAUGUAGGAGACCCAGAUUCAAUCCCUGGAUUGGGAGGAUCUCCUGAAAAAGAAAAUGGCAACCCACGCCAGUAUUCUUGCCUGGAAAAUCCCAUGGACGUGGGAACCUGGUAGGCUACAGUCCAUGGAGUCCCAGAGUUGCACGCAACUGAGCGACUUCACUUUCGCUGUUGUUGCAUUCAAAUUGCUCGUAUUGAACAGACUUGUGUUUGCCAACGGGGCAUGGGUGGCAGAGGGAAGGACUGGGAGUCUGGGGUUAGCAGAUGCAAACUAUUAUAUAUAUAGGAUGGAUAAACAACAAGGUCCUACUGUAUAGAAAAGGGGACCAUGGAUUAUAUCAACAUUCUGUGAUAAAGCAUUUGGAAAAGAAUACGAGGAAGAAUAUGUAUAUAUCUGAAUUACUUUUCUGUAUGGCAGAAAUUAACACAACAUUGUAAAUCAACUAUAUUUCAAUAACAUUUUUACAAAUUGCUCAUGUUAUUGACUUUGGUAUGAGUGGGUUUUCUUAGUUUUGGAAUCAGGUUUGUGUUAACCUCAAUAACUUUUUGUUUCCAUUUGCUUCUUUUUUGUAACAGCUGGAGAUUAUUUAUCAAUGCAAUAUGCUCAUGAAUCUUAAAGAACAUAGGAGCAGAUUGUUUAAAGUUUUCUUCUGUUCCCUGUAUUAACUCUUCUUCAGCAUGGGCCAUUUGGUCUGACUAUUCAGUUUAGACUAUGGAUUCUCUUCACACAUCAAAGGAGUUUUCACUGUCUGUUCCUGUUUAAAACAAAGGACUGGACUGAUCACCAUCAGUAGCUGAUGUGAGCUCCCUCAACAAUUGUGUAGGCAAGUCGUCGUUUGAUGUCUAUAUGUGGCCAGGGGUAUAAGGAGACUUAGGUGAGCUGUGCCCCAACUGUAUGGCACAAAGGCUGGCAGAGCUCCCUCCAGGAAGCUUGAGCUAGGAAGCACACUGGCACCAUGAAGGGAAACACAGCAGCUAUUAAUGUAAUUAUGGCUGUAUGAUUACAUAAGAGGGUGAUGUAGAAAAAAACAGGUACCAAUUCUGACAUACCAAAAAAAAGGCAUUGAUACACUUCAAUUUUCAUUCCUCAUAUAAACCCCUACUAAAAUAGGAAUAGGAGGACAUUCCCAAAGGAUAAGAAAGAGAUUAUCAGAAACCUGUAGGCUUCCCAGAUGGCGCUAGUAGUAAAGAACCCGCCUGCCAAUACAGGAGACACAGAAGACUUGGGUUCGACCCCUGGGUCGGAAAGAUCCCCUGGAAGAGGAAAUGGAAACCCACUCCAGUAUUCUUGCCUGGAGGAUCCCACGGACAGAGGAGCCUGGAGGGCUACAGUCUAUAGGGUCGCAAAGAGCCUGACACCACUGAAGCAACUUAGCACACAGCACUCAUAGAAAACAUAAAAGCAGGUGAAAACCUGGCAUCAGUAACAAAACACUGUCUCCAUCCUAAUCAUCAUUGUUUGAAGCUAAUGUGAUAAUAUAAGAAAAUUGACUGCUGCUGCUGCUGCUGAGUCGCUUCAGUCGUGUCCGACUCUGUGCGACCCCACAGACGGCAGCCCACCAGGCUCCCUCGUCCUGGGGAUUCUCCAGGCAAGAACACUGGAGUGGGUUGCCUAAAAUUCACAAAUGUUUAUAAGAAUGAGUCAAAAUAAUUAUUUGCAUGAGAUCUUGUUUAUCAAAAAAUUCAAGAGCAUCAACUCAAAACUGUUAUAAAUAUUAUGUGAUGGCUAGUCAGAAUAUACAUUUAUACAAGUCAGUGGCUUUCCAAUGUAACAGCAAGGACAAAUUAGGAAGUAAAAGCAAUUGUGGAGAUCUUACCCACAAGAGCAGCAAAUGCUAUAAAAUAUCUGGGAAUAAGCAAGCAGUAUGUUAGGUUUAUAAGAAGCAAAUUAUAAAGCCUGCCUGAAGAUUGUAAAAGAAGAUUUGAAUACAAAGGAGAAAUGGGCCACAUCCCUGAAGGAAAACUCGAUAUUGUAGAAAUGUCAAUUCUCCUCCAAUUAUUCUAUCAGUUGAAUGGCAUUUCACCAAAAUCCUGAUGGCUUCCUCCCCUAAACCCAUCAUCCCGCUCUAAACUUGGGAAAGGCAUCAGAUAAACGAUGGUAGAGAGGCAUUCUACAGAAUGCCUGACCAAUGCUCCUCGAAACUGAGGCCAUCAAAGAGAAGGAAAGCCAGAGCAACUGUCACACUCAGGAGCAGCCCAGGGAGAUGUAGUCUCCUGGGUGGGAUCCUGGAACAGAAGAAUGGCUCUAGGCAAAAAGUAAUGGCAUCUCAACAAACUAUGAACUUCAGUUAAUAAUGAUGUAUCGACGUUGGUUCAGGAAUUGCAACCAGUGUGCCACACUGAGGGAAGGUGCCAACAGGAGAAACUGACAGGAAUAUAUGGAAACGCUCUGAUUUUUUUGUAAAUCUAAAACUGUUUUCAAAAAAUAAAACCUAUGUUCUAAAAAUAAAAAAUCCCAAUGAGAUAUUUUUGAGGGGGUGGAAAGAAGGAGAAACUUUCAACUUUAAAGUUUACUUGAAAUGAUACCUGGAUGAUGACAAAUUUUCUAUUUACAAUUAAUGAGUGCCUACCAAUUAAGGUGAAGUGCAGAGAGUUUCCACCUCCUCUCGUCUUGAAGAUCAGCCCAAACCAAAAGUAGAAAGAAAAAAAAAAGCAACACUAAACCCACCUUACCUGAGAAGAGGAUGCAUCGGAAACCUAAGAUCUCUAGGUGAGCAGAUGGGAGGCAGCUGGAGGAACAGAAGCAGAGGAGCAAGAACCAAACCUGAGUGUCCGGUGGAGGCCCCGGGACAGCAGGGAGCCACUUCGUUCACCACCACUGACCGGCUCGGGAAUAGAAAGGAACAGGUCCCCAAGAAAGUCGUGGGGAAGCCUGUGGCUGAAAACAAAGGGAUGUUUUUUCAAAACCUUAUACAAGAUGCAGUGAGACCCCAAGAUCACCGGUCCCAAGCACACCCAUGGCAGCCAAGAGGCUAUUCUUUUCCUGUUUCUGAAGACUGCUAGAGAUUCCUUUUCUAAAGAAAUGGACACAGAAAGUCUAACUUGGUUUCAGCAGGCACUGAGGAAGGUGGAAAGGUGCUGAAUUGAAAACAGAUGAGUAAGGAGACAUCAGAGACCUCCAGCUUCCUCCUCAUUCAGGUCCCAAACUAGAGAGAGGUCCCUCUGCUCUGGCAUCACUUUGAAGUCAGCCCAGGACUGGACUUACUGCCUCCAACUCCCACCCAUGUCCCCUGCACAUACGUCCCCUGGUAGCAGGGUGGAGAAACAUUCUUUAUAAAUGCAGUGAAGACUUGUGCCACCAGGGGCAUCAGCCAACUUCAGCUUCCAGUAAGCCCUGUGCACAAAUCCCACCCUCCCGACACCUCCCAGAGGACACUCGGAGCUUCACUCUUAAAUAUGAAAGACAGCCAAGGAUCAUUGUACAUUUGAAGACAAUCCUACCGUGAAAGAGAAUACAAUAAAUAGGAGAGAAAGAAGUUGAAGAAAGCAGCUAAUUCACAGAAUAGGAGGGGGAAGAGGAUAUUUCUAAAAAAAAAACAUUGCCUCCAUUAAAAAGAAAAGAAGCUAUAAGAAACAAAGAACAAGAAAUCUUGUUUCUUGAUGGAAAUUCAGACUAUGAAAGAUGAAUACACACACACACACACACAUAUAUAUAUAUGUAUAUACACACACAUAUAUAUAUACUGGCCUCACCCCACACAGCAUGCAGGAUCUUAGUUCCCAGAUCAGGGAUCUAACCCAUGCCCCCUGCAGUGGAAGCAGGGAGUCUUAACCACUGGGCUGCCGGGGAAGUCCCCAGGCUGAAAUUUUUUAAGAAAAAGGUUAAGUAUUGAAAGACAAGGUCAUGGAAAUCUCCCAGAAAGUAC
rnacentral:lncRNA from 1 species